CAGUCGCCGCGGUAAUACGAAGGGGGCUAGCGUUGUUCGGAAUUACUGGGCGUAAAGGGCGCGUAGGCGGCCAUUCAAGUUAGAUGUGAAAGCCCUGGGCUCAACCUAGGAAUUGCAUUUGAUACUGUUUGGCUUGAGUUCGGAAGAGGUAAGUGGAACUCCGAGUGUAGAGGUGAAAUUCGUAGAUAUUCGGAAGAACACCGGUGGCGAAGGCGACUUACUGGUCCAUUACUGACGCUGAGGCACGAAAGCGUGGGGAGCAAACAGGAUUAGAGACCCGUGUAGUCCCUGUCUCUUAUAC
rnacentral:rRNA from 1 species